UAAAUUAAAUUAAAUCUAAUUAAAUUAAAUCUAAUUUAAAUUAAUUAAAACUUGAUUCAUAAUUUAAUCAGCUCCAAUUAAAUCAUAAUAUUUACAAUUAAGUCCUUGUAUUGAUAAUUAGCAGUCACUGAAUCCGUAACACUUACAAAAUAGUAAUUUUCAAAUCCAAACCAUCAAUCAAAUUGAUAAUUCAAAUUUGAUCCAAACCAU
rnacentral:lncRNA from 1 species